rnacentral:rRNA from 1 species
GUGUCAGCCGCCGCGGUAAGACGAAGGUGGCUAGCGUUGUUCGGAAUCACUGGGCUUAAAGAGCACGUAGGCGGCCUGUCAAGCGCUUCGUGAAAUCCCCCGGCUCAACCGGGGAAUGGCUUGGCGAACUGGCAGGCUUGAGGCAGGUAGGGGCGCGUGGAACUCUUGGUGGAGCGGUGAAAUGCGUAGAUAUCAAGAGGAACGCCGGAGGUGAAGACGACGCGCUGGGCCUGUCCUGACGCUGAGGUGCGAAAGCCAGGGGAGCGAACGGGAUUAGAUACCCCGGUAGUCCUGGCCGUAAACGAUGUCCACUAGGUUGGGGUUCUUUUGACGGAUCCCCGGCCGAAGCCAAAGCGCUAAGUGGACCGCCUGGGGAGUACGGUCGCAAGGCUAAAACUCAAAGGAAUUGACGGGG